ensembl:lncRNA
UUAGAAUCCUUUAUGCAGUUUUUGAAUGCUCAUUUGAUCAUGUUGUUAAUCUCCCUGAAUUUACUGUUCAUUAUUUUACUUAUUUCACUCAGUAUCUGGAUUUAUCAUAUUUUGAGGAAGCCUUCCCCAGAACCAGAGGACACUGAGUGGCAGGGUGUGUGGAGAGGCUUGGGAGAGACUUUAGAGAGAUGGACAUCUUCGGUAUCAUGGAACUUUACUCCUGAACACCUGAAAGACCCUCAGAGCUAAAACAGAAAUUUGAGACAGGAACGUUGUGGCUCAGGCAGAUCUGAGGAGGCACAGAUGAUUUGGGGUCUGGCUAAUGCUUACCGGGCCUUAUACAAUACUAUCCCCAAGAGGGAAAGAGUUUCUGAAAUUGAGAGAGGGAAUCUCUGUGCUGAAAGAGAGUGUCUCAGAGACAACAGGGAGAAUCUCCAGGUCCAGAAACAGAGUCUCCAAGUUGAAAGAUACAGUCUCCAAUCUGAGAGAUAGAAUCUCCUAGUUGAGAAAAAAGCCCCCCAAUCCGAGAGAGAUAGCCUCCAGUCCAAACGAGAUGCCCUGCAGUCCAAGAGGGACAUCCUCAAGUCCAAACAGGAUGUACACUGAACUGAGUGAGAGGGCUUCCAGUUCACAAUAUUUAAUCUCCAAACUGAACUAAGCAACAUUCAGGCUCAUUGAGUCAUGCUUGAAUCUGAACUAAAUACCCUCAUAAUCAAACGAGACAGACUCCAAGCUGAGCUGAAGAGUGAGAGUAUCAGAACUGACCAACCUGAUCCACCACAGGAGGCACCACAGUUGAUGUCAGUUGCUCCUCUAAGAGGAUGGAAUAUGAAACAAAUCUUGACUCACUUAGAACAGAAGAAAGAGGAGAAGGAGAAAGUAGAGGAAGCAGACACUGCAAGAGAAGAGGAGGAAAGAGGUCCAGAGGAGCAGCUCCAAGUUCUAGGGGAACCACCCCUGAGUCCAGGGGAGGGGCUCUCAAUAAGAUCAUGGUCACCAAUGCCCAGGAGAGUAACAAGAAGUCCUGAAAGAUCAGGAGGUGAAUGAGACAUCAUUACCAUUACUGAUAGGUCUUUGAAAAUGAACGAAAUUCAUGGUCUGAGAAAAGACUUCACACGCCACCCAAAUGAGCCUAUUGUCACCUGGUUACUUCGAUGUUGGGACAAUGGGGCCAACAGUGUGUUGCUAGAUAGUAGAGAGGCUCGUCAGCUUGGUGGCAUUGCUAAGGACUCAGCCAUUGACAGAGGUAUUAGCACAUGCCAGAACCAGGCCUUCACCCUCUGGAAGCAGAUGCUGUUAGCUGUGAAAGAAAGAUACCCCUUCAAAGAUGACCUGAUGCCUGAGAAAAGGAAAUGGACUGAUAUGGAAAAAGGCAUCCGUUAUGUGAGAGAACACGCUGUGGUGGAAAUGUUACAUAGCCCCACUUUCAUUCCUGACGAGCCUGAUGAAGAGCAUGAUCCUGAGAACGUCAGGUGUACACCACAUAUGUGGCGUAUAUUCAUAAAGACUGCACCAGAGUAGUAUGCCAGUAUAUUUGCAGCAAUGUAUGACAGGGGGAGAAAGACCUUUUAUAAAUGAACUUAUUAAUAAACUCCAAGACUUCGAGUUACAUUUAAUCCCUCUACACCAACCUGCAUCAUCCAACGUCUCGGCUAUUAGAGUGGCUAUCAACAGGAGACGUCCUCCUGUUCAAGCAAGUGACAACAGUAAGACUAGGUCGCGCUUUGCCUUGUGGCAUUACCCACGUGACCAUGGAGAAGAUAUGAAGAAAUGGCAUAAGAAACCCACUUCUGCACUUCAAGCAUGGGUAAAAGAAUUAGAAGAUAGAUCAACCACCAAGGUGAACUUCUCCAAAAAGGUGGUUGUUCCAGUUAUUGCAGGACACGGCAAUAGUCAGGAGGACAACGGAGGUAACAAAUAGAGGGGUCCUGCCCCCAGCCAGGAGGGGGAAAGGGAUAAUAGAGUGUAUUGGACUGUGCGGAUUAGAUAGCCUGGCAUGUCAGAACCACAGAAAUAUAAGGAACUAGUGGACACUGGUGCAGUGUACCCUAAUGCCCUCGAGUCACUAAGGGACAAAAUCAAUUUAUAUUCAUGGGGUGACUGGGGGUUCCCAAGAGUUGACUAUGUUGGAGGCUGAAAUAAGUCUCACUGGCAAAGACUGGCAAAAGCAUCCUAUUGUGACUGGUCCAGGGGCUCCAUAUAUACUUGGUAUUGAUUACCUCAGAAGGGGAUAUUUUAAGGAUCCCAAAGGGUAUCGAUGGGCCUUUGGAAUAGCUGCUGUAGACACAGAAGGUGUUAAACAGUUGUCUGUGUUGCCUGGCCUGUUGGAAGAUCCAUCUGUUGUGGGACUGCUACGAGUAAAAGAGCAACAGAUACUGAUUGCUACAAAAACGGUGCAGAGACGGCAGUACCGCACUAACAGGGACUCCUAGCUCCCCAUUCAUAAGUUGAUUCGUCAACUAGAGAUUCAGGGAGUGAUCAGCAAAACUCACUCACCUUUUAACAGCCCCAUAUGGCCAGUGCGUAAAGCCAGUGGAGAAUGGAGGCUGACGGUAGACUACCGCGACCUGAAUGAAGUCACACCCCCACUGAGUGCUGCUGUGCUGGACAUGUUAGAAC